rnacentral:rRNA from 1 species
UACGUAGGGCGCAAGCGUUGUCCGGAAUUAUUGGGCGUAAAGAGCUUGUAGGCGGUUUGUCGCGUCUGCUGUGAAAAUCCGGGGCUCAACCCCGGACUUGCAGUGGGUACGGGCAGGACUAGAGUGUGGUAGGGGAGACUGGAAUUCCUGGUGUAGCGGUGAAAUGCGCAGAUAUCAGGAGGAACACCGAUGGCGAAGGCAGGUCUCUGGGCCACUACUGACGCUGAGAAGCGAAAGCAUGGGGAGCGAACAGG